CGGACUGUAGGCUGCAACUCGCCUACAUGAAGCUGGAAUCGCUAGUAAUCGCAGAUCAGAAUGCUGCGGUGAAUACGUUCCCGGGUCUUGUACACACCGCCCGUCACACCAUGGGAGUCGGAAAUGCCCGAAGCCGGUGACCCAACCAAAAGGAGGGAGCCGUCGAAGGCAGGUCUGAUAACUGGGGUGAAGUCGUAACAAGGUACC
rnacentral:rRNA from 1 species